rnacentral:rRNA from 1 species
UACGGGGGGGGCAAGCGUUGUUCGGAAUUACUGGGCGUAAAGGGCUCGUAGGUGGCCAACUAAGUCAGACGUGAAAUCCCUCGGCUCAACCGGGGAACUGCGUGUGAUACUGGCGGGCUUGAAUUCGGGAGAGGGAUGUGGAAUUCCAGGUGUAGCGGUGAAAUGCGUAGAUAUCUGGAGGAACACCGGUGGCGAAGGCGGCAUCCUGGACCGGUAUUGACGCUGAGGCGCGAAAGCCAGGGGAGCAAACGGG